CUCUUUAUUCCUCUUCCCUGAUCAGUGGCCAGGAAAGUAGAUCCAUGGCUUUGCUACAGCUUAUGCCCUGUAUCUCUCCCAAGGCUGAGCAGCAGAACAGCCUCUCUCUAUCCAUCCUCAUAUCUUCCUUCCUGCUUCCAUCCCUCCAGACCUGUGUGAGAUCGGCUGGAUUUGUGCUUCUCUCUUUGAAGAAGAGCUUUGUAGCAGAAACUACUGCUGGAAGGCAGACUUUGCCUCCUGUUGGCCCCUGUACCUGAGGACCCCCUCCUGCAGUACAGAUGCUGAGCAUGGGAAGCUGAAUAAGUGAAGCCAUCUCUGAUCCUGAGACCCAAUUCCAGGGCAGCAGGGGUGCACAGCCUGGCCAGGGAGCAGAGGGAAGCAGGUAUGGCAUCCAGGCAGGCGAUGGCUGCGUGGCCUUAGCCCGCUGAGCACGUGCUUGCAAUAGAGUCCCAUGGGGUAGUUAUUAUGGCUUACACAUCUAACUAACCACUUCAAUUUGGCAUAUGUCUCGAGGUGCUGGGUAAGCAUCUUGUCAACUUAAACACAGCUGACAAAGUUAUGACACCAAGAAUAUUUAGACUUUGCAGUUUUCCCCGACCUCCAGCUGAUCCUGUUAAAAUGUCUCUUCUCCUUCCAGAGAGCUGAUUUGUGUCCCAAAUUUUCUCAUCUCAAUGGAAAGGGCCUCUUUGCCAGGUAAAAUAGAAAUCCGUUGUCAUCCUGAUACUCUGAUUUAGCGUGAUCUGGAGGAAGGCACGUUUCAUAUCUGGUUUGUUGCUGAUUUUCAAGGUUGGUUUCCUGCAGGAUUGAGUGACAGAGAAGGCUGGCUGGAGGUAUUUUCAUGUUUAAGCUACUCUCCCAGAUGCAAAACCUUUAAACAAGUGGCAUUUCCCCUCUUCUUUCAGCUGCUAUUCCUCAUGCAUCUUCUCAGCCAGAGAGUAAUGAAGUUUGAACAAAUCCCUUUACCUGUGUUGGAAUUAUCUGAGUGUGAAAAUCUUUUUCUACCCUUAAAAUUACUCCAUCUCUAUUUCUUUUUUUAAAAAAGUGAUUAUGUUUAUCCACUCCUGUAUUCCUCCACUGGAGAGAAAUUAGAAAUAAGAAGCAGAAAGAUAAGCUCUGGAAAUCCCACCACCAUGUCUCUCUCCAGAUACCUCCCUGUGCCAAGGAAUACAUAUAAAGAUGUGCUUUUAUAUAAAUAGGCUCAUAGGAUAAACAUUGACCUGUGACCUGUGAGUAUUUUCAGUAUUUUAUGAUCAUCAUGGCAAGCUGACACUCACCACCUGUACUGUCAUGUUUAAUGGCUACGUUAUUCUAUUGUGUGGGCAGACUGUUGUUAUAUAGUCCAUCAUUUUGUAUUUACCCGACUUUUAGGUUAUUUUUUUUCUGCCAUGCUAAGCAGUGGUGAGAUGAAUUUCCUAAUCUAGCUCAUUAAUCUUUAUACAUGUGUCUUAAUGUUCUCUUAGGAUACAUUUUUAGAACAGGACUAGCUAACAUUUUUAAGGGUUUACGACAUGCUACUCUGCUAAGAACUAUAGCCAUACUAUUCAUUGAAUCUUAUAAACUAUUCUACACAGAAAUAUCCACGUUUUAAAGAUGAGGAAACUGAGGCACGGAGAGGUUAAGAACCUCAGUUGGGUCACACAGCUUGCAAUUGCAAUCAGGAUUGGAAACCAAGCUCAUUAACUCUAGAAGCUUCUGAUCCAAAAGUUUAGCCUCCCACUGCAUGGUAUAGGGAUGCCUGUCCCCUACUUCCUCUUCUCCAUUGCUUGACUGUGUGACUGGCUGGCCCGACUCCUGGUAUCCUGGAGUCCCUUCACCCACAUUAAUCAACAGAACAGGACAGAAGAGUAGUCAGUGUUCAUGCUGCUGAAAGAACAGAGCACUUUCCACAUGACCCAGCUUCCUGGCCUUCUAGAGAACCAUCCUGGGCCAGGAAAAUGGGGCCGCUGGGGGCUUCCCUUAGGGGAGCUAGCUGUCAAGGCUGAGAUGCACCCAGGGCCAGGGAUCGUGUGUGCAGGGAGUCUGCUCUUCCUGAAGCAGGUUCCCUGCAGGCUCUGGGCUCUGGCUGGGAUGAGACCUUGCAGGCCACUCUGGGGAGAGCUAAGCAUGUCUACUGCAGCCGAGGAGUCUGAACCCUCUGUGUGUGCCAGGGAAAGAAGGGUGCUGAGUGAGAGGCAGAUUCCAGCCAGGGACUGUGGGUAAUUUUCUUGGUAAGAAUGUGGGUAGACUGGCAUUUGCUUAGUAGGCCACCUAUUUUGAAGGGAAUCACCUGUGGAUACUAAGAAGGUCCCUCUUCUCAUGCCCCUACCUGGGCCUAGCUCUCUGUCAGUGACACUGCCCUUCAGGGAGGUCCAGCUGCCUCAGAUAUGCAGUUGGGGGACAGGGUGGGGCUGGUUUCAGUGCACAAGCAGCAUAAGAUGAAGCAGCUGGAAGCCACAGAGGCUCUAGGGUCCCCCCAUUGGCCCUUUCAGGGAAUGUCUUGAUCCUGCAGAAGAGACAAAACGGGGAGGGCUUGCCCUCCACGUGCCCAGUCAUCUCUUCCUGAUUUAUCCAUAGAUUGAGCUUGAUGAUCCAGACUCACAUUCAUUCAACUAAUCACACAAGUUAUUUCUGCAAUUUAGGUCUUCGAAUAAGUGCACUUGGUUGCUGAAUAUGUGAUCAGCCACAGAUUUCUCAUUCUUUAAAACCCAGGGAGCGGAAAUGCCAACAUAAAGCCAUCAGCACAAGUCAGGGAUUUCUGAAGCACUAAAAUCAGGUCGCUGAAGGUCCUGGCCCCUGGACCUCCUGCCAGGCUGCACUUGGCCCAUCAGUGCCCCACAGAGCCCAGAGAACCAGGUUGCCUCUGCAGUGACUGGAUCUGGAGGAGAAAAUGCAUUGAAAGACUUCAAAAGGGUGUAGACCAGCUGGAAAAGCUCCUGUAGGCUUUGAGAUUGGGAAGAUCAUCUUCUGCUCUCACUGCCCUGAAUUUGGCUAAAACCUUGAACAACCACCCCUUUUCCUCUUUUUCAUCAUCAUCAUCAUCGUCAUCAUUAUCAUCAUGGACAUCACUACUGUCUCAGUCUAUGGACAGGACUUACUUAUUCGUUUGAGGAGCCUGGUUGAACUCCUAUGGAGCCCCAAGGAUGAGUUAGGCACUGAGGACUCCAGAGAUAAAUGAGAUGUGUGCCCUGCCCUGAUACAGUAUUGCUUCAGAUCUCAAAGGGAAGACCUAUAAUUAAAAUGCAGGUGUGGAAAACAAUUAUUGAGACUUGUUCAGCCAGUGUGGACGAGAGGGUGGGGACGUCCGGGGCAAGGAACUCGGCUUCCUGCUUCCACUUCCUGUCCUGGGUUGAUUGUAGCCCUGUAGGGAGUCUUAAAGCAGCUACUGAAGAGUAGCCAGUUGUUCCUUCUCACAGGUGCUGCAAACCAGAGUAGGUUUCAGUGUGGCUGCUACAAGAUGCAUCCAUCCCAAGAAUAGGUGGCAUCUGCACUGUGGAGGCAGCUGGAGUCUUCUAAGAAGUUUUCCAGGCCAGUAGUGCCAGCUCACAGCCCCUAAAUUCAAGGAGGUAAAGGUGAAGGUCUCAUAAGAACUGAUACAAGUAUUUUUGGACAGGAUUCCAGGGGAUAGUUGAGAGAACAAAUGAAUUGGAGCCAUAAUUCCAGGCCAGCCCUCCAUCAUUUCAGACUUGAUAGUCUCACUCUAUUCAACCUCAAAAUUUUUGUUUUUUUCAAAAACAAACCUAGUAGAAUCAUAGAAAUGGCCCAUAUUUCUUUCAAGGUGCCCCCAUCGAGAGGCUAGUUCAUAUUUCCUGAUGCUACUAGGGUCAAAACAAUCUUUGCCUGCUAUCUGAGAGCUGCUUUCAGGAGCCAGUGCCUGGACCAAUACAUUAUUGCAUCUGCUAACUUAUUGUUUUAGUCCAUUUUGUGUUGCUGUAACAAAAUACCUGAAGCUUGUUAAGAGAAGGAAAGAGAGAGAGAGACAAAAGAAAAGAACAGGGGUUUAUUUAGCUCACAGUUUUAGAGCUAAAAGUCCAAGCUCAGGCAGCCCCAUCUGCUCAGCCUCUGGUGAGGGCCAUCAUAACUUGGCAGGUGGCACUGCAUCACCUAGUGGGAAGACAUGCAGAAGUGAUCAUGUGGCUUGAGAGGAAGCAAGAGAGAAAGAGGAGAAGCCAGGUUCACUCUCACAGGAACUCGUCCACCCCCGGGAGACCCAACGUACUUAUGGAGACCAGCAUUGAUCCCUUUGGGAGGCCAGGCAUGACCCAGUCUCCUCCCACCCGUCCCCACCUGCCACUUCUCAGUACCACUACACUGGGGACCAGGCUUGCAGUGCACAAACCUUUGGGAAUGCACCGUAUCCAAACCAAAGCAGUUCAUUCACCAGACUGGGACUCUGAUAAACACUGACUGUUUCUAGAAAGUGAGUCUCUGCCUGCUGCUAUGAAGACUCAAAACCUGGGUUUGAAUUUUGCUUUGCCUUUUGUUUUUAUUGGGCAAAUCACUUAUCUUCCCUGGAUCUGUUUCCUGAUCUGGAAAAUGGGUGGUACCAUCUUACCUUAUUGUAGUGAGAGUUAACCAAGUAAGACAGGAGUACCUAACAGUGCCCAGAGUGCCACAGAAUAAAUCCCUGCCUCUAUCCCCACCUCCACUCAUUUAUGAGAGGACAAAAAAUAUAAUAGAACACUAUUAAGUGUCAAGCAGAGGCCUAUGUGAUUCUGGGUAAUUUACCUCAUCUUUAAAAUGGAGAGGUUGGUUCGUGGGUCAGGUCAGAUUUAAAGGCUUAGGAUUAGAAAGAUUAAGUAAGACUCAUAUAAACAUAUUUUUAAAAAGUAAAGCCCUGGACAGGCACAUACAUAAUCUUAGUACCUGACGUAUUGAGGAGUCCAGUUCCAAGUCAGUGCCAAAGGUGCUGUCUUAGAACAUAUCAGAGAAAGGCCCUGGUUAGUUCUUACCAUUCAGUGCAGGCUGUGCUUUGGUCCAGGUGUUCUCCUGAGCCCACCCCCAGGAGCCAUGAGAAUCCACAUAUCUGCUUGGAUGAAACACAGCUGACAUCUACUACAUGCAAGAAUCCAAGCCCUGCUGGACUGAAAUGAUCCUAGGGUACCAGGCAAGGGAGGACGGGACAGGUAGAGAGUCACCCUUCCUCUGCCACACAACACCCUUCAACAGGGAAAAGUGCUAGUCUUCCUGCCCCCAAGAGGGAAGAGAUUUUCCUCCUUGAGAAGUGAAAGGUAGGUGUGGAAGGCAGUGCCCAUUGGCUUGGGUUGUAGGUGGCAUUUUCUGUUCAAGAAAGAAUAGUCAGGAGUUUGAUGCAGGCUAUAGAGGAGAUGACCAAAGACCAAGCAAGCUGGUUAGUCAUAACAACAGCAGCUCAGGCACCAGAGUUAGUAAGUGCUCAAUAAAUAUCUGCAGAAAUAAUACUUGCAUCCUAUGGAAAUAACAGUGCUGGAUCAAACUGGCAUUCCAGAGGUAAACAACCAGAUGUUCCUUGUCCACCUAACUGUCCAGUGCCAAAGCUCAGACUUUUCACCAGGAUUCUGAAGCCCUCUUCAGUUGUGUUAAUCAGGCACAACUGUGUUAUCUCCCUACCCUUUUGCUUACAGUAAAAUUCCUUCCCAGCACAAGGGCCUGGAGUGCGGGUAGGGAAGACGUGAGCAUUCCAGUUGCUCUGUAUCCUCACCAGUGCUUAAUAUUGUCAGUCUUUUUAAUUUUAACCUUUGUAGUAAGAAGCAAACACUAAAUUCUUUGUUGAACUCCUUGAAAUGUAUCCGUUCACUCAUUCUGAGCUGUUGUUCCACCCCAGUCUACGAUCAGUGCUAGAGAGAACAGAGCCGAGUAGUCAAGAUCUGUUCCCUGACCCGGCGUAGGUUGGACAGCUGGAAUGGGAAUCCUGCUUGGCAGCUUCCCUGCUUUUCUAACCUUGGGUGAAUUAAUCUCACUGAGCCUGUGUUUCCUCAUCUGUUGGUUGGGGUUGGUUCGUCAAAGCAGCGUAGCAGAGAUUAAUAUUAUGUAAUAAUAUAUGUAAAGGGCUUGCCCCGCGUGGGGCUCAACAGAUGUUAGCUGUGACUGUUAUUACUCACUUGUUUUGCCAGCUGACUGAAAAAUAGUAACAGGCACCAGAGGUUUAAGAAAAAUUUGUGAGAGAACUUAGUAAUAGCUAACAUUUAUCGAACAUUUACAGUGUGCCAAAUGCUGUUCUAAAGCGCCUUUUAUGGAUUACUGGUAACAUUAAAAGUCCUAUCAAUUUCCAUAAUUUUUCACAAAUUGGGAAAAGGUCAUUCUGGUUUGAUUUUUCAGGUCAGAACACACGAUUACAAUUGUGGGAUACUAAUGGUUUCCUAGGAGCCAUGAGUCUAGAAUUUUAGAGGUAGCAAGUUGGGAAUACUUUCAUGAGCUAUACUUUACCUCUUUAUUACUCAGUGACCUUCAUGCCUUUUGUUCAGAAGCCCAGUGCUGAUGACUUAGUAAAGAGGAGAAACAAUGGAUUCUUAAAAAAACAAAAAAACAAAACAGUGUUUGGUAUUGUUGGGAGGGUUCUGGGUAUUUCCAUACUGACCGUGCUUGCACUAGCAGGUGUGGUCUUAAGAAAGGGCUUGCCACACUCUGGGCCUCAGUGUCCUCACUUGUUUAGAACACUGAACUCGGUUAGCUAUUGCUGUGUAACAAACUAACCUGCAAGCAGAGGCUUAAAAACAAGCCCUUGUGAUUACUCAUGAGCCUGUGGCUCUUGACUGCAGUUAACUCAUGUAUACGGUCAGCUGGCAGGUCACCCAAGGCCUGGCUGGCCUAGGAUGGCCUUGGCUGGAUGCCUCAGCUCCAAUCCAUGUGCAUCUACUCUGCUCUUCAUGGCAGAAACAGGGUGCAGAAGAACAGGGGAGGCAUGCAGAGCCUUUUCAGACCUAGGCUCAGAACUGGCACCUGUCACCCUGCAUUCUGUUGGUCAAAGCAAGUUAGUCCAGCCUGGGCACAAAGGAUGAAGAGAUAGAUUCUGUCUCAUGACAGGAGCAGCUGCUAAGUCAUGUGGCCAAAGUCAUGGGCAGAGAGAGAGGUGGAAAGUCGGGAACAUUUCUGCAAUCUGCCACACUUAGAUUCCUUCCCACUGUAACAUCUCAUAAUCAAGUAGUGCUCAGGCCAGUGUGGGAGAAGGAAGUUGAUUCCCAUCUUCUUAGGCCAAGGCCAGACAUUCCUGUCUGGAUUAAGAUGAAUGACCAGAUGCCCAGUCACUGUUCGUGCUGAGCUCAGCUCCAUUUGAUCAAAUGGACAGAACUAAAGGACAUGAUUUUACUCAGUCACUCAUUCUGCAUAUAUUGAGCACUGCUGUGUGCCAGGUCCUGAGCUGAGCUAGACACCUAAAUCACUGUCACGCAGCCUGCAGCGGUGAUGCUGGGGCCACAAGAAGCGUUCCUGUGCCUGCUAGUUUGGGCUUUCUGUCAAUCUGAUGCUGGGGCAGAUCCCUGGGUCUUUCAGACCAUAGAUGAAUCAAGAAGCCUUAGGGUCUGACUGUCCCAUUUAGGCCCCAUGGCCCUGGAGUUAGCCCCAUCCAGACCCCUUCAGCACUAGGCAGCCAGGAAGUAGAGAAGGAGAGCAAGGUGUCAAGAACCAGUGUGUGAAUGUGACUACACGUCCUCCAGGGUGUGAAUGUGAGGUCUCCUGCACUUGGAGGCCAUCUCUGUGCUGUGUGUGCUGUGAACCAAGGCUGUUAUGCACUUACAAGCAACUGGCUUCAGAGGGAGUUAAAUCAACCUUUGAGUUUCCUGCAGCCCCUCCUCAAAUAGACACCCAGCUGGCAUUUUUCCUUAAAUACCAUUCAUUUUUAAAAGGGGAAAAAAUGUUGGUGGCCUUGAAAUAGAUCACGCUUUAAAAUGCAGAGUAGCAGAGAUUCGGUUCAAAUUAUUCUCUUAAUAGAGUUCUUCAGAGUGAGGAAGUGACGAGAGAACAUAAUCGCUUCUUUUGUCAUUUGGGCAAAAAUCUAAGGACUGCAACCCAUUUGUCUGCAAAUGUCUCUCCUUGGUACAAAUUGCAGCAAGCAAUCCAUUCCAAGGGUAAAUGGUCUUUAAUUAGAGUCAGUUGUCUUGGCAGGGGGAGGUUGAGGGAGGUAAGGGGUUUGAAAUAUAAAAUAUUUUCUCUUUAAAAAUAAAAUGAGUAUACACAUUUUUACAAUUAACUCACUUCCCUGAUUUUAUAGCUAGGGCAAGGUUUUGUUAUAAGUAAAACUACCCUGGCUGUUUUUCAUGGCUAAAAAAUUUUUGCAGUAAGGCCUCUGAGAAACAGUAGAAUUUCUGUAGCAAUCUUGAUGAAAAUGCAUCCUCAAGCAUUGAUUUUUGUAGCUGAAGUGCAUUAUGUGUUUUGCAUGAGCUUUUGAAAGCUUAGAUAAAUGAGGUGGCUCAGAAAGCAGAUAAAAAAAAAUGGGAGGAAAUUAUACCGAUCCAAAAGAAGAUAAAUGUCCACUAAUUCUCAGAUUAACAUUUUAGACUCCUGUGUUUUUAUAGGUGAAUGUUGGCAAUGCUGAUAAUGUGAGAUUGGUUUACAAUGUCACAUACCGGGUAGAAUCAAUGAAGCCUUGUUUGAGUUCUCAGAGUUAGCUACACUCGAAAGGAAGCGGAGUUAAUGCCAUGACCUGGUGGUGCCCCGACCCCCACCUCUAUUUGGUACUGGCACUGUACCUAAGAGACAUUGACCCUCAAGGUUAACUGAGUCAGUUUGCCCCCUAGGGUUGUGAGAGAUGGAAAAUCCAACCCCAUUUGAUUUAAGCCUCAAAGGAAUUUACUAGAUUACUCAACUGAAAGUUGCCAGGGUUAGACUCAGAUCUCCCUUGAUCCAAGACUCAGAUAAAGACUGACUGUUUUUUUCUGUGUGUCUGUCCUCUAUUUUCUCUCUUCAUUCUCAGAAUGCCCCUUCCUUUAUGUCAGCAAAGUAGUACAGCAAUUUUUGCCUCCAUGUAUCCAGUUUGUGUUUGGUGCAAAAGAGCUAGGGCUGCUUUCUUGAGGAUUUCAGUUUAAAUCCCAGGGCUAGCUCUGAUCAACUUUAAUUGUGCCUGUGGUUCUUUCUGUCCCUAGCUAAUCCUAAUGUCCAGAGGAAUGAAAGAUGUGGACUGGCUGAGACCUAGAUCACUUGAUCAUCGGCAUUGCUGGGGGUCUGGACAGCACUGCCCCAAAUCGGACAUGGCCUAGGAGUUGGGAGGAGGGAGGAGAAAGAUGCCCUAGAAGGUGAUUCAAGGGCCUAUUAACCACUCACCCUGAAAACAGAUGAGUGGAGUCUGGGAUGUGAACCUGCAGAUUUCUGCUAUAGCAGCCAGCAGCCUUUCAUUUCUUCCUUCAACAAAUAUCUGAACACUCGCAACAAACAGUGCAAGGGUUACUGUGGUGAACAGAAGGGUCCAGGCUCUGCCCUCAGAGAGCAACUAGUCCCUUUUGUGCUAAGGCUCAAAUCAUCCCCUGGGCCUCCAGCCAACUCAGUAUUUUUACUGACCACCUACUAUGUACCAAGGCCUAGAAACAGACAGAUGAGGAAAACUAAAGCCUUGGCUUUGAGCAGUAUAGAGCAGAUCAGUGAGGGUGAAUGUUCAGGAGCACCUGAGGCAUUAGGGACAUUAGCAUGUCAUCUCUCACUCUGCUUUUGUUCAUUGUAUUAGUUAGAAUUGUAUUUCGCUCAAACUAAAGGAAAAUCUAAAAUAGCAAUGACUUAAAGUAGAAGUUUAUUUCUCUUUCACAAGUCAGAGUAGUCAGUCUAGGGCUGUGUUAGUAACUCCACCAUGACUGGACAUUCAGGUUCCACCAUUCAUCCUGAGUAGUGGCUUCUACCUUAUGGUCCUAGGUGGUUGCUCUGGUGCCAGUCAUCAUGACCAAUUUUGACCAGCAGGAAAAGAAAGAGAAAGAGAAUAUACUUUCCAGAAGUUGUACACAAUCUCAACCCAUAUCCCAUUGGCCAGAACUUGGUCACAUGCCUAUGCCUAGCUGCAAGGGAAGCUGAGAGGUGCAGUCUUUAUUCUCCUGAUCAUAUACUCAGUGAGAAAUAAAGCUGCUGCUUGUAUUUUUCCACCCAAAUCAAAGGAGAAUGGACAUUAGAGGGAAGCACUAAGAUUUGGUCACACUCAUACUGUUUGCUUUGCCUGACCAAGCCUCUGCCCUUCUACAUGCCACUCCAAUUCUUUUUGUUUUUAAUUGUGGUAUUAGAAAAGCUAGGCAAGCACUCUGCCAUUGAACUUCACCUCCAGCCCCUUUAGCAUUUUACUUGAUUUUAUUUUAUUUUAUUUUUGAGACAAGGUCUUAAAUAAGUUCCUCAAGCUGCUCUUCAACUUUUUUUUUUUUUUGGUGCUGGGGAUCAAACUCAGGUCCUUGUGCUUGCGAGGCAGGCAGCGGAACCACUGAGCUAAAUCCCUGGCCCUGCUCUUCAAUUUAUAAUCCUCCUGCCGCAGCCUCCUGAGUAGCUGGGAUUACAAGCAUGCUCAGCUUUCCAAGUUCAUUUUUAAAAACCAAACUACUGCUUCUUCCAUGAAGCCUCCUUGGUUUUAACCCCAAUUGAAAUCAAUAUCUUUUUUUGUUUUUGUUUUCUGAGACAGGAUCUUGCUCUGUAGUUCAGGCUGGCAUCAAACUCACUAUACAGCCCAGGUUGGCCUUGAACUGGCAAUGAUCCUCCUGCAUUAGCCUCCCAAGUGAUGGAGUUACAGGCAUGCACCACCACAUUCAGCAGCUCUAUCUUAUUUUAACUUUCAAAUCAACUGUUACAGUUUAGAUUUAAAAUGGCCCUCCAAAGUCUCAUGUGUUUAGAAGAUGAUUGGAUCUUGGGGGUGCUAUACAGUAUAUGCCUCCUUUGAUGAGCUCAGGAGUUCCUGUGCUGUCAGGAGGUGGGUGGGGAUGUGACCCAGAAGAGUGUGUUCUUGUCCCCAGCGACUCCUCUCUUACUCUUUCCUGGCUGCCAUAGAAUGAGCAGUGUUCCUCUGCUUUACCCUCCACCAUGCAUUUCUACCUUGGAGCUGGCCAACUCAAGACUGAACCCACUGGAAACUGAGCCAAAUGAACCCUCUCCCCCUAUAAAUUAUGUCACAUAUUUUGUCCCAUGGACGAGAAUACAUGAACUAUAGUGAAUUAUAAUUUAGUACAAUAAAAUGUACCCAUAAUAAGCGUACACUUCAAUACAUUUGGAAAAAUACAUUUCACCACCACCUAAAUCAAGGUACAGAAUAUCUUCUGAAAAUUUCCUCAUGCCUCUUUGUGGGAAACCUUCCCCACUGUCUGGCCCAGCAAUCCCUGAUCUACUUCCGUCACUCUGAAUUAGCUUGAACCUCCUAGGGUUUUAAGAAGCACACAGUGUGUACUCUUGUGCAUCUGGCCCUUUCACUUAGCAUGUUUUCAAGGUUCACGUGUGUUGUGUCUAGGAGUGGUUGCUCCUUUUUGUUUCUGAGUACACAUUCCAUCCAUCAGAUGCCCCAACUGCAGUUUUGUUUUUUCUAUUUAUCAGUUGAUGGCCUUUGGAUUGUUUCCAGUUUGGGGCUAUUGCCAAUAAUUCUGGUUUGAACAUUCAUGGGCAAGGUUUUAUGUGGACAUAGGUUUCCAUUUCUCUUUUCUACAUACCCAGGAGUGAAACAGUUGGGUUAUAUGGUAAGUACAUGCUUAACUUUAAGAGAAAUUCCCAAACUGUCUUUUUCAAAGUGGAUGCACCAUUUUCCAGUCUCACUGACCAUAUCGGGGAGUCUACCUGCUUCCCAUCCUCACCGACACUUGCUAUAUCAAUCUUUUGGGGGUUUGUUUUUUUUGGCUACAGGGGAUUGAACUCGGGUCCUUGUGCUUUUGAGACAGGAGGUCUUUUUAAGCUAUGCUAGUGAGUGUACAAUGAUAUCUCCCUGUAGUUUUAUUUAUACACACACUGUUCCAUUCUCCUUCCACUCCACUAGUUGUACUAAGAUCUUGGUUAGUGUUUAACAUCAUUACGGCUAUAUACAUGCUCUUCAUGCUGACCCUCAUAGAAUAUGAUUUCCUUCUCUUUCCUACAUAGCUCUUUGUUUUCUCUGGAGUUAAUAAUUGUUCUGUUUAUUUGCUGCUUAGCUUGUUGCAUGUUCGUCACUCCUUGCUUUCACAUCCUCUUAUUGCUGUGCCGCUCUCUCAGUGUUCUAAUGCCUUAAGAGUUCCUUCAGUCUCAUCCUCUUGCAGAAGUCUGUCCUGGGGCCUGGGAACCUGCUCCACAGCUGUUGUCUCUGGGGAACUUUUUGCCUCUCUCUUGUUUGUUAUUUAGAAUAAUUUUGUUGAUACAUUAUUUACAUACCAUAAAAGUCUCCCUUUUUCAGGUGUACCAUUCAAUGAAUAUUAGUGUAUUUACAGAGUUAUAAAAACAUUAUCACCACCUAAAUCUCAAAUAUCUCCAUUACCUACAAAGAACCCUGUGCCCAUUUACAGCCAUCCCCCAUUCCCAUUUCCAGCCCUAAGCAGCCACUGGUCUAAUCUGUCACUAUACCUUUGCCUUUUUUGAAUGUUUCAUAAAAACAGAACCAUAUAAUUUGUGAUCUUUUGUGUCUGGAUUCUUUCACUGAGCAUGAUUCUUUUCAGGGUUUAUCCAUGUUGUAGCAUGCACCAGUAUAUUAUUUCUUUUUAUUACUCAAUAAAAUGGCGUGAUGUGUCUACCA